GACGAACGCUGGCGGCGGGCCUAAUACAUGCAAGUAGAGCAGUCGCGAGCGGGUGAGUAAUGCGUAGGUAACUGCCUCAUAGCGGGGGAUAACUAUAGGAAACGAUAGCUAAUACCGGAUACUGCGAGAUGGACCUGCGUUGUAUUAGCGAGUUGGUGGGGUAAAGGCUCACCAAGGCGACGGUACAUAGCAGACCUGAGAGGGUGGUCGGCCCCCACGGGACUGGGACUCGGCCCAGGCUCCCUCGGGGGGCAGCGGUAGGGAAUCAGCGGCAAUUGGCCGAAGGCUGACCGCGCAACUCCGCGUGGGUGAAGAAGGUUUUCGGAUCGUAAAUCUCUGUUGUUAGGGUAGCGUUAACUACCCGGAAAGGGACUGCUAACUACGUGCCAGCCGCCGCGGUAAUUC
rnacentral:rRNA from 1 species